rnacentral:tRNA from 1 species
UUCGGGGCAUGGAGGGUCAGGCAGGGCAACCGAGGGCAAGCUAACGUUUGGGCUCAUAACCCAAAGGUCGCAAGUUCAAAUCUUGCCCCCGCAACCA